rnacentral:rRNA from 1 species
AUUGAACGCUGGCGGCAUGCUUUACACAUGCAAGUCGAACGGCAGCGCGGGCUUCGGCCUGGCGGCGAGUGGCGAACGGGUGAGUAAUGCAUCGGAACGUGCCCAGUAGUGGGGAUAGCCCGGCGAAAGCCGGAUUAAUACCGCAUACGACCUGAGGGUGAAAGCGGGGGACCGAAGGGCCUCGCGCUAUUGGAGCGGCCGAUGUCGGAUUAGCUAGUUGGUGGGGUAAAGGCUUACCAAGGCGACGAUCCGUAGCUGGUCUGAGAGGACGACCAGCCACACUGGGACUGAGACACGGCCCAGACUCCUACGGGAGGCAGCAGUGGGGAAUUUUGGACAAUGGGGGCAACCCUGAUCCAGCCAUGCCGCGUGCGGGAAGAAGGCCUUCGGGUUGUAAACCGCUUUUGUUCGGGAAGAAAUCCUCUGGGCUAAUACCCCGGGGGGAUGACGGUACCGGAAGAAUAAGCACCGGCUAACUACGUG